CAUGUAAAUCAUGUCCCUGUGGUUACAUAUUUAUUAGCAGAAAACUUUUAAAUGCAAAGCACCCAGAGAAAUCACCACCUUCAACAGGAUCACCAUCCACAGCACACCUGACUGGCCCUGGGUUGGACAGAGAGUUUGCUGUCACAGUUUAGUGAAGAACGAUGACAUUGGCCCCACAGGACUAGUGGCUCAGUGAUACCAUCGAGGACCUAGGUUCUUCUCUUCCUUCCAUCCUGGGAAGCUGUGGCUUCCACCCUAUGACAAGGCAGCUGUUUCACCCCAGGCAGCCCACAGCACCCUAAGCAGGAAGAGAGGGAAGGCAGAGGGGCUGGCCAGCCAUGCUCAUCCCCUUAAAAAGUCUUUCUGGAAACCUUCCUCAUCCACUGACAUGUCACUGGCCAGAAGUGGAUUUCACGGCCGCUUCACAUGAGGAGUCUCAGAUAAAACAAACAUGAGGCCAAGAGGAGGCGCACAGAGAGAGCUAGGAGAGAGAAGAUGCACCCGACAGGACAUAAG